ACUAAGCGUACACGGUGGAUGCCCUGGCAGUCAGAGGCGAUGAAGGACGUGCUAAUCUGCGAUAAGCGUCGGUGAGGUGAUAUGAACCGUUAUAACCGGCGAUUUCCGAAUGGGGAAACCCAGUGUGUUUCGACACACUAUCAUUAACUGAAUCCAUAGGUUAAUGAGGCGAACCGGGGGAACUGAAACAUCUAAGUACCCCGAGGAAAAGAAAUCAACCGAGAUUCCCCCAGUAGCGGCGAGCGAACGGGGAGGAGCCCAGAGCCUGAAUCAGUGUGUGUGUUAGUGGAAGCGUCUGGAAAGGCGUGCGAUACAGGGUGACAGCCCCGUACACAAAAAUGCACAUAUUGUGAGCUCGAUGAGUAGGGCGGGACACGUGGUAUCCUGUCUGAAUAUGGGGGGACCAUCCUCCAAGGCUAAAUACUCCUGACUGACCGAUAGUGAACCAGUACCGUGAGGGAAAGGCGAAAAGAACCCCGGCGAGGGGAGUGAAAAAGAACCUGAAACCGUGUACGUACAAGCAGUGGGAGCCUCUUAAUGGGGUGACUGCGUACCUUUUGUAUAAUGGGUCAGCGACUUAUAUUCUGUAGCAAGGUUAACCGAAUAGGGGAGCCGAAGGGAAACCGAGUCUUAACUGGGCGUUAAGUUGCAGGGUAUAGACCCGAAACCCGGUGAUCUAGCCAUGGGCAGGUUGAAGGUUGGGUAACACUAACUGGAGGACCGAACCGACUAAUGUUGAAAAAUUAGCGGAUGACUUGUGGCUGGGGGUGAAAGGCCAAUCAAACCGGGAGAUAGCUGGUUCUCCCCGAAAGCUAUUUAGGUAGCGCCUCGUGAAUUCAUCUCCGGGGGUAGAGCACUGUUUCGGCAAGGGGGUCAUCCCGACUUACCAACCCGAUGCAAACUGCGAAUACCGGAGAAUGUUAUCACGGGAGACACACGGCGGGUGCUAACGUCCGUCGUGAAGAGGGAAACAACCCAGACCGCCAGCUAAGGUCCCAAAGUCAUGGUUAAGUGGGAAACGAUGUGGGAAGGCCCAGACAGCCAGGAUGUUGGCUUAGAAGCAGCCAUCAUUUAAAGAAAGCGUAAUAGCUCACUGGUCGAGUCGGCCUGCGCGGAAGAUGUAACGGGGCUAAACCAUGCACCGAAGCUGCGGCAGCGACACUAUGUGUUGUUGGGUAGGGGAGCGUUCUGUAAGCCUGUGAAGGUGGCCUGUGAGGGUUGCUGGAGGUAUCAGAAGUGCGAAUGCUGACAUAAGUAACGAUAAAGCGGGUGAAAAGCCCGCUCGCCGGAAGACCAAGGGUUCCUGUCCAACGUUAAUCGGGGCAGGGUGAGUCGACCCCUAAGGCGAGGCCGAAAGGCGUAGUCGAUGGGAAACAGGUUAAUAUUCCUGUACUUGGUGUUACUGCGAAGGGGGGACGGAGAAGGCUAUGUUGGCCGGGCGACGGUUGUCCCGGUUUAAGCGUGUAGGCUGGUUUUCCAGGCAAAUCCGGAAAACCAAGGCUGAGGCGUGAUGACGAGGCACUACGGUGCUGAAGCGACAAAUGCCCUGCUUCCAGGAAAAGCCUCUAAGCAUCAGGUAACAUCAAAUCGUACCCAAAACCGACACAGGUGGUCAGGUAGAGAAUACCAAGGCGCUUGAGAGAACUCGGGUGAAGGAACUAGGCAAAAUGGUGCCGUAACUUCGGGAGAAGGCACGCUGAUAUGUAGGUGAAGCGACUUGCUCGUGGAGCUGAAAUCAGUCGAAGAUACCAGCUGGCUGCAACUGUUUAUUAAAAACACAGCACUGUGCAAACACGAAAGUGGACGUAUACGGUGUGACGCCUGCCCGGUGCCGGAAGGUUAAUUGAUGGGGUUAGCGGUAACGCGAAGCUCUUGAUCGAAGCCCCGGUAAACGGCGGCCGUAACUAUAACGGUCCUAAGGUAGCGAAAUUCCUUGUCGGGUAAGUUCCGACCUGCACGAAUGGCGUAAUGAUGGCCAGGCUGUCUCCACCCGAGACUCAGUGAAAUUGAACUCGCUGUGAAGAUGCAGUGUACCCGCGGCAAGACGGAAAGACCCCGUGAACCUUUACUAUAGCUUGACACUGAACAUUGAGCCUUGAUGUGUAGGAUAGGUGGGAGGCUUUGAAGUGUGGACGCCAGUCUGCAUGGAGCCGACCUUGAAAUACCACCCUUUAAUGUUUGAUGUUCUAACGUUGGCCCGUAAUCCGGGUUGCGGACAGUGUCUGGUGGGUAGUUUGACUGGGGCGGUCUCCUCCUAAAGAGUAACGGAGGAGCACGAAGGUUGGCUAAUCCUGGUCGGACAUCAGGAGGUUAGUGCAAUGGCAUAAGCCAGCUUGACUGCGAGCGUGACGGCGCGAGCAGGUGCGAAAGCAGGUCAUAGUGAUCCGGUGGUUCUGAAUGGAAGGGCCAUCGCUCAACGGAUAAAAGGUACUCCGGGGAUAACAGGCUGAUACCGCCCAAGAGUUCAUAUCGACGGCGGUGUUUGGCACCUCGAUGUCGGCUCAUCACAUCCUGGGGCUGAAGUAGGUCCCAAGGGUAUGGCUGUUCGCCAUUUAAAGUGGUACGCGAGCUGGGUUUAGAACGUCGUGAGACAGUUCGGUCCCUAUCUGCCGUGGGCGCUGGAGAACUGAGGGGGGCUGCUCCUAGUACGAGAGGACCGGAGUGGACGCAUCACUGGUGUUCGGGUUGUCAUGCCAAUGGCACUGCCCGGUAGCUAAAUGCGGAAGAGAUAAGUGCUGAAAGCAUCUAAGCACGAAACUUGCCCCGAGAUGAGUUCUCCCUGACUCCUUGAGGGUCCUGAAGGAACGUUGAAGACGACGACGUUGAUAGGCCGGGUGUGUAAGCGCAGCGAUGCGUUGAGCUAACCGGUACUAAUGAACCGUGAGGCUUAACC
rnacentral:rRNA from 2 species